GACGAACGCUGGCGGCGUGCUUAACACAUGCAAGUCGAACGGUGAAAGGGAGCUUGCUCCCUGGAUCAGUGGCGAACGGGUGAGUAACACGUGGGUGAUCUGCCCUGCACUUCGGGAUAAGCCUGGGAAACUGGGUCUAAUACCGGAUAGGACCACUGCCUGCAUGGGGGGUGGUGGAAAGCUUUUGCGGUGUGGGAUGGGCCCGCGGCCUAUCAGCUUGUUGGUGGGGUGAUGGCCUACCAAGGCGACGACGGGUAGCCGGCCUGAGAGGGUGACCGGCCACACUGGGACUGAGAUACGGCCCAGACUCCUACGGGAGGCAGCAGUGGGGAAUAUUGCACAAUGGGCGCAAGCCUGAUGCAGCGACGCCGCGUGAGGGAUGACGGCCUUCGGGAUGUAAACCUCUUUCAGCACCGACGAAGCGCAAGUGACGGUAGGUGCAGAAGAAGGACCGGCCAACUACGUGCCAGCCGCCGCCGUAA
rnacentral:rRNA from 1 species